AAUAAUGCUGGCAAUAGAAGACUUCGAACCAGGUCAGGACUGAAAAGUAGCAGCCUUAAGAACCAUCUUCUAUGUGCUAGCAUUUUUAAA
rnacentral:SRP_RNA from 1 species